rnacentral:ncRNA from 1 species
UAACAGGAAAUUUAAGGGCGUACGGUGGAUGCCUAGACACAAAGUGGCGAUGAAGGACGUGGCGUAACUGCGAUAAGCUUCGGGGAGGUGUGUAGCAACCUUUGAUCCGAAGAUUUCCGAAUGGGGAAACCCGAUCCGAUCAAAAUCGGAUCGUCCCGACUGUAAGGUCGGGGCGCAUACCCUGGGAAGUGAAACAUCUCAGUACCAGGAGGAAUAGAGAACAAUCAGCCUCGUCUGGCUUCGGCUAGACGGGUAGUUAUUUCCUAAGUAGCGGCGAGCGAAAAGGAAAAAGCCCAAACCCGCACACUUACUUUGGAAUUGUGUUUUUGUUGCAUCAUAAAAUAUAUAACCAGAAAUUAUUUUUCUUCUUUAUAUAAAAUUACUUUGUAAUAAAAAUUAAAACACAAUGCAACGAUUCCAAAGUAAGUGUGCGGGGGUUGUAAGGUAACAAUGUAGAUUUCUAGAAGAGUUAAAAAAUAAAUUAUUAGCUUAAGUUGCUGGAAAGCGACACCAUAGACGGUGAUAGUCCUGUGAGCGAAAAUAAUUUAUCUCUUUUAUUGUUAUUCUUGAGUACCUCAGGACACAAAUGGCCGGAGGGAAUCCAGCGGAACUAACCGCUAAGGCUAAAUACGCUUUGUGAUCGAUAGUGAACUAGUACCGUGAGGGAAAGGUGAAAAGUAGCCCGAUUAGGGCGGUGAAAUAGACCUGAAACCGUAUGUCUACAAGGAGUCGAAGUUCGUCUUUGGAUGAACGACGGCGUGCCUAUUGAAGAAUGAGCCAACGAGUUUAUGUAUGUUGCUUGCCCCCACACUUAUUUUCACAAAGCAACUUUGUUGCGCGCCUUUGGCGCAUUGUGAGAAUAAGUGUGGGGGCGAGGCUA